rnacentral:rRNA from 1 species
AUACGUAGGGGGCGAGCGUUGUCCGGAAUGACUGGGCGUAAAGGGCGUGUAGGCGGCCGAUUAAGUCUGGAGUGAAGGUCCCGCUUUCAAGGUGGGAAUUGCUUUGGAGACUGGUUGGCUUGAGUGCGGAAGAGGUAAGUGGAAUUCCCAGUGUAGCGGUGAAAUGCGUAGAGAUUGGGAGGAACACCAGUGGCGAAGGCGACUUACUGGGCCGUAACUGACGCUGAGGCGCGAAAGCGUGGGGAGCGAACAGGAUUAGAUACCCUGGUAGUCCACGCUGUAAACGAUGAAUGCUAGGUGUAGGGGGUAUCGACCCCUCCUGUGCCGGAGUAAACGCAAUAAGCAUUCCGCCUGGGGAGUACGGCCGCAAGGUUGAAACUCAAAUGAAUUGACGGGG